CCACUAUUGAGAAAAGGAUAACUCUUUUUUUCCAGGAAUUUGGCACCUAACACAUUUGCAUCUAGAAGUGCGGAAUGAACUAUGCCAUAAAGAGCUCAAUGACCUGAACAAUCCAUCAGCAACCCAUGAGCCAGCAGAACAAAAGAUGACAGAACUGGGGCUGGCAGAGCAAGUUAUUUGACAAGAAAUCUUAGAGUCCUCACUUUCUGGGAGCUCAGAGAAAGGUAAGAGCCUUAGCUGAAUUUCAGUCUUUCAAUUGUGUCCUUAUUGUGGGUAAUAAGGACACAAUUGAGGUUGAAAUGCCCGUCUGAGAUAUCCCUUGAGAUACAGCUUUAGUUUCUGUUUCAUCAAAAACAUAUGAAGAAGUCACAAUGUGUAAAACAUUGUAGUUUGGGGAUGGAUAGAAAGAGGAAUUAGACAUGGCCUCUGGUUUAACAGGAGAUUUUAAUCUGGUGAGGAGAAUGGAGAGAGUACACAAUGAGAUUUAGGGAGUGAAUGAAACAGAAGUUGUGGGGAAAAUGCUGAAGGUUGUCUAAGUAGUUAAGGCUGCAGCUUGUGGUUCUGAUAGGCGAAGUGUUAUUGUUGGGGAUGUCUUUUAAUCCCUCUCUUUGCUGAGUGACCUGGGAGCUACACUGCCUAGGUCUGACGGGGAGACUUGUAAAUAAAUCCCACCUGAAUUGGGAAUCAAUAGCACCCAUUUGUCUGCACAAAUAUCAAGUACUUUUACAGCAUCUGUAGUCUCAGUGGUUCUUAAACCUUGGAACAGUGUGCAUCUUUUAGAAAAUGUGAAUAAACUAAGAUCUUUUAUCAUAGAAGGGGACAAAAAAACACACGAACAAUUUCAAGGACUUCUUCCUAAAGUCCUUAGGCAAAUCAUCUAAUCUCUCUGUGUCUCAGUUUCUCAAUCUGUAAAAUCAGAGUGAUAAUACCUGCUUUAGUAAGCAGUGGGGAGAAUUAAAUGAGAGAAUUAUGGAAAGUAUCUAGCACAGACCCCAGGGCAAAUUUGCGAUAAAUGACAGUCAUUAUUAUAUUCUUUCUUUCUUCCUUUUUACUGUGAAACUGUACUGCUUCCUUGACUGUGACUGAUCCUAUCACAGAGACAAGGCUGGGGAGUCAGAUAAGGGACUGGUCACAAAGGAAGGCAAAUGAAAUAAAGGUGAUAGAUGAACUUCAUGCCCAGCCAAAAAUAUGAUAUAAUUAGGAAAUCUGAAAACUUUUACAGGAAGUUAUCUGGGGAAAUGACUUUGAGAAUAUGUAGAAUAACUACGAAGAUGCUAUUUUAAUUGUAGCUAUUUUAUGGGCUUAAUACUAAUGCUGAUAGUAUUAAUUUCCAAAUCAAUGGCAAAUGCACACUUACAGAGAGUUUAUUAUAUGCCAGGCAUUGUACUUAGCUUGGCUUACGUAGGUCACCUUCUUUAAUUCUCAUAAUAUAAAAUAAUACACCCCAAAAUACCCCAUCUGAAAUUCUGAAAUAAAAAGCCUCUGAAAACUAACAUUUUGCAAUGAUUGAUUCAGUAGCAAAACCUGAACAGAACUGCCAGAGGAUGUUUUUAGUCUUUAUUUUUCUCACUUAGAGUGAAUAUUCGUGCAUUUUGAGGCAGCCGUCUUAAUGUUUGGUCAUGGUGUUUUCUGUGACCUCACUGGAGUAACACUCCAUAAUUCCAUGUGGACUCUAUCCCAUGUGUAACAUGUGAAGGAGUCCCAAUUCCAAAAUUCACCUUGCCGCCAGGAUUUCUGAUAAGCUAGGGUGCCAGGAUUUCUGAUAAGGUAGAGUGGGCCUUUGAAAACAGUAACAUUUAUUGAUCACUUGCUGUGUACUAACCUUUGGUUCAAGUCUUAUGUUUGUUUAUUUUAUCCCCAUAAUAGUCUUCAGAGGAAAAUAUACUUAUCAUCUUUCCUGCUUUACAGUUGAGGCAACUGAGGUACAGAGAGGUCAGGAAACCCAGGGUUACAAGACAGUAACUCAGAAACAUAAAAUUUGAACCCAGCCCAUUGGGAUCUGGGAAGCUUUUGCUGAAAUACUAUACAGACUACCUCAUUUAUAUUAUUGAAAUUGUUAUCCUUACUUUAUAGCUGAAAAUUCUGAGGAUUAAAGAUUCACUAAUUUAACCAAGAUAAAGUGUCUGUGUGAUCUUGAGCAAGUUACUUAAUCUCUCUGGGCCUCAGCUUUCCAUUCUGUAAAAUGAAGGUAAUGAUAAUCUAUACUGCAUUGCUGUGGGGAUUAAAUGAGUUUAAAACAAUGAGAGCAGUGCCUGACAUACCUCACGUAAUCUAUGCAUCUUAGAUCUUACUAUUUUUUACAACUAGGCUAUGUGGAUGGUAGGAGAAAAGAGAAGGAUAUGAUGGAAGUCAAUCCUCAUGCAAAGAUUUACUAUAGAAAAGGUAAAAAAAUAAUAUUUUUCAGGUAUUAAAUCAGUGUUUUCUUUAUUUUUUGUUCCUUAGUCCUUAGGUGUGUAGUGGCUGCCUGAUUUGUUGAAUCAGUCAAUCACCUGGUGAAUGGCAUGUAUUGAUUCAGGGUAAGGGCAGAUACAGAACAAACAGGUCUUUUAUUCUUCUCUGAGUCCCCAGGCUGACAUUUUUUUAAUCGAUUGCAAGACUCUAGUCAUAAAGCCACUCUUUGUUAAAGAACAGAAGUGUUUUAUAAAUCUCCCAUAUUUCCCUUUACAUUCAAAAGUGUGGGCUUGGUCCUUUCAAGUCUUAGAGCAUUGUAUUUACAUGACGCUAAAGCAUAAAGAGAACAGAGACUAUAUUGCAGGGGAAGUUUCUUUAUGACAAGAAAGGAGAAUUCCCUUUCACUAAGAGAAGUAGAAUUUAGAAACUGGAGAAAAAGAAUGGGAGAGUUAUAGGUAUGAGUGACUUGACUCAUCUAUUGGGUACUAGUGCCUUUGGGAGAGAGAAGGGGGAAUAUGGUAAACUCUUUAGCAAAGCCCUGUAUUUAGAAUGGUGUUGGUACUAUGUAGCCCCUAGGCAGAAGAGGAAUGCCUGAGGAAAUGUUUCAAGGCCACUAGAAAUAAUUCUGCAAUCUGUGUCAUGGUGAGGAAAAUCAGCUGGUGGCUGCAGGGUCACCCACAAGGGUCACAGAUUUAGAUAAUCAGUAAAGCAGACAAAAUCCACUAUAGGGACUUUAGAACUAGGUAGCAUGACAAGAUCCAGAGGCAUCCAUGGAUGACACCUCAAAAACAUAGGACAGGACCAGACUAGGCAAACCUCAGAAGGCACUGGUGUAGGAUAUCCAAGAUGAGAGAAGGAAGGGAAAAUCCCAGCAAAAGACAGCACAUGGACCAAAGGUCUCUCUCUUUGCUACCAUGCUGAGUGGGACCCCAAUGUCAGUUAUAGAGGAAAGAGAGUUAGGAGAGACUCUGUAGUGGUGGAGAAACAGUUGUGACUAAUUUAUAUUGACUGAUUUCCUCCCCUAAAUAUUUUAAAAUCAAAACAACCUCAGUUAUUAUAAUUUUACUUGGUCAAUUUUGUUCAUUUUUCUGGCUAGUACAAGGAAUUGGACUCCAGAGAAUAUGAGAUCAAAUAAUAAAUGCUUUUUAUGAUUUUUUUACAG